GCACAAAGAAUAAAGCUUUCAAAAGAAUUAUCAAAACGCUCCACUGGAAAAACAUUAUACAUUUUAGACGAACCUACAACCGGAUUGCAUUUUGCAGAUAUAAAUAACUUACUGACAAUACUGCACAAGUUGGUUGAUACGGGAAAUACGGUGAUAGUUAUUGAACAUAAUUUAUACGUUAUAAAGACGGCAGAUUACAUAAUAGAUAUCGGACCAGAGGGGGGUGCAAGAGGUGGCAGAGUGGUAGCCAGAGGAACGCCAGAAGAGGUAGCUAGCAUGCUAGAAAGUGUUACUGGCAAAUAUCUUAAACAACACCUGCAAAAUUAGCGCAAGCA